rnacentral:misc_RNA from 1 species
GCAAACUUGGUCAUUUAGAGGAAGUAAAAGUCGUAACAAGGUCUCCGUAGGUGAACCUGCGGAGGGAUCAUUACCGAGUCCGCCCCCGGGCGCGCCUCCCACCCAAUGCUAUCGAUACCCUGUUGCCUUGGCGGGCCGGCCGCUAGCCCCGCCUAGCGAGUGCCCGCCGGAGGCCCCGCAGACCCUCGGUGUCGGUGUCGUCCGAGUCCUGUAUAACAGUCAAAACUUUCAACAACGGAUCUCUUGGUUCUGGCAUCGAUGAAGAACGCAGC